GACGAACGCUGGCGGCGUGCUUAACACAUGCAAGUCGAACGAUGAAGCUAGAGCUUGCUCUGGUGGAUUAGUGGCGAACGGGUGAGUAACACGUGAGUAACCUGCCCCGAACUCUGGGCUAACUGCUGGAAACGGUAGCUAAUACCGUAUAUGACCAAUGAAGGCAUCUUCAGUUGGUGGAAAGAAUUUCGGUCAAGGAUGGGCUCGCGGCCUAUCAGCUAGUUGGUGAGGUAACGGCUAACCAAAGUGACGAAGGGUAGCCGGCCUGCGAGGGUGACCAGCCACCCUGGGACUGAGACACGGCCCAGACUCCUACGGGAGGCAGCAGUGGGGAAUAUUGCACAAUGGGCGCAAGCCUGAUGCAGCAACGCCGCGUGAGGGAUGACGGCCUUCGGGUUGUAAACCUCUUUUAGUAGGAAAGAAGCGAAAGUGACGGUACCUGCAGAAAAAGCACCGGCUAACUACGUGCCAGCCGCCGCCGUAA
rnacentral:rRNA from 1 species